CAAUGGUUUUCGUGACUAUUAGGUAAAUUUGCAAUGGGAUUACGAAAAGACCUCACGGAAGAGUAGCGGACUUUACAAGGGAGUUACAAGGUUUUACAAGACUUUACAAGUUUACGGAGUUACAAGGGAAGCAAUUGCAAAAAGCAACUGUUUAAUGAAUCGGACUACCGGAAUGCAGUCUAUAACGUAAAGAUAAGGUGUUUUUAUCCGAUAAAAUAGAAGAUCAAAAUUAAAAACGGUGUACGAAACAGCGAGAAGACAGGGUCGUUCUAACCGAAAAUUUGAAAGACAAAAAUUCGAAGCAUAUAAAAGCGAAUUGCAAGAGCGAUCGUUGCUAGGGAUGGGCGACGAAGAAUUAGUUCCACUAUGUACCUGCUUUUCCAAAGCGGUUUGGAAAUGCCUCUCCAGCGGGAAGUGUUUUGUGUUCGAGUGCGGAGAUAUCUUCGAUCAAGCUCAACAAUGACCAUAUAUAUAUCAAUCGUUUGGUUUUGUAGCAAAUAUAUGCCAGUGGAACUGAACGUCAAGGCUACAAAGGGCAAAUAACAAGGCUAUAACAACCCUUGAUCUGGGGAGCCAGGAUGAGAAAACAAAAGAUCCAGUGCGCCAGCUAGCGAAGAGUUCAAACAUUAGCUGGAGAAGGGUAUUGCCUCGUCAGCGUCGAACGCCGGUUGCACUCGCUUUCGAAUGUCCCCUGGGAUUCAACGAAUUUAGCUACCAGACAUGAACAGACUCAACUUUCGCGUCGUUACGGUUACUGGCGCUGCAGCAGCGAGAGAUCUGACAAUUCUCGUUCAUUGUCCAGUAACAAAUUGUCUGUACACAGAAGUCCAGUGAAAACUGGGCACGAUCUUCGGGGCUGUCUGUAUACACAUCAACCUGAUGCAAGAGGCAACCUUGAAAAAGCGAGCGUGCGAAGAUAUCUUUAAAUAAAAAGUACGUCGGCAGCCUUCAUUUUGAUGAAAUCGCAUUACAAUUAGCUUGAAUACCAAACGAGAGUUUUUGAACGAAGAGAAAAGCAAGAAUGCCAGUCAAGAUUA